rnacentral:rRNA from 1 species
ACUGCUCAGUAACACGUGGAUAACCUGCCCUUUGGGCCGGCAUAACCCCGGGAAACUGGGGAUAAUUCCGGAUAACGCAUAUGUGCUGGAAUGCUUUAUGCGUCAAAUGGAUUCGUCCGCCCAAGGAUGGGUCUGCGGCCUAUCAGGUAGUAGUGGGUGUAAUGUACCUACUAGCCAGCGACGGGUACGGGUUGUGAGAGCAAGAGCCCGGAGAUGGAUUCUGAGACAUGAAUCCAGGCCCUACGGGGCGCAGCAGGCGCGAAAACUUUACAAUGCGGGAAACCGUGAUAAGGGGACACCGAGUGUCAGCAUCAUAUGCUGGCUGUCCAGGUGUGUAAAAUACACCUGUUAGCAAGGGCCGGGCAAGACCGGUGCCAGCCGCCGCGGUAACACCGGCGGCCCGAGUGGUGAUCGUGAUUAUUGGGUCUAAAGGGUCCGUAGCCGGUUUGGUCAGUCCUCCGGGAAAUCUGAUAGCUCAACUAUUAGGCUAUCGGGGGAUACUGCCAGACUUGGAACCGGGAGAGGUAAGAGGUACUACAGGGGUAGGAGUGAAAUCUUGUAAUCCCUGUGGGACCACCUGUGGCGAAGGCGUCUUACCAGAACGGGUUCGACGGUGAGGGACGAAAGCUGGGGGCACGAACCGGAUUAGAUACCCGGGUAGUCCCAGCCGUAAACGAUGCUCGCUAGGUGUCAGGCAUGGCGCGACCGUGUCUGGUGCCGCAGGGAAGCCGUGAAGCGAGCCACCUGGGAAGUACGGCCGCAAGGCUGAAACUUAAAGGAAUUGGGCGGGGGAGCAC